UUGGAGGGCAAGUCUGGUGCCAGCAGCCGCGGUAAUUCCAGCUCCAAUAGCGUAUAUUAAAGUUGUUGCAGUUAAAAAGCUCGUAGUUGAAUUUCGGGAUCAAUAUAUCGGUCGUGCCAUCGGUACGUACUGGUAUGAUUGGUUUCUCCUUUCUGACGAACCAUGAUGUCAUUAAUUUGGUGUUAUGGGAAGUUAGGACUGUUACUUUGAAAAAAUUAGAGUGUUUAAAGCAGGCUUUAGCUUGAAUACAUUAGCAUGGAAUAAUGAAAUAGGACGUUCGAACCUAUUUUGUUGGUUUCUAGGAUCAACGUAAUGAUUAAUAGGGAUAGUUGGGGGCAUUAGUAUUCAAUUGUCAGAGGUGAAAUUCUUGGAUUUAUUGAAGACUAACUACUGCGAAAGCAUUUGCCAAGGAUGUUUUCAUUAAUCAAGAACGAAAGUUAGGGGAUCGAGGACGAUCAGAUACCGUCGUAGUCUUAACCAUAAACUAUGCCGACUAGGGAUCGGAUGAUGUUAAUUUUUUAAUGACUCAUUCGGCGCCUUACGGGAAAC
rnacentral:rRNA from 1 species